UGAGAAUUAGAGAAGAAACAAACAAAUCAUGUUAUGGACGAGCUGAUUUAGAAGCCGCAUCGUAUGCUAAAACGCUAUCGUUUCGGUGUUUGAUUCCCCUCACAGCAGCAACGCGAGAAUGCCCAAGCUGUUUUGCACUCCAAGGUCGAAUCUCCCUUGCCGCUACCGCUGGGGAAAACCCUAAAUUGCUACUGAUAGUCUGAACUUGUCGUUGUGAAGAAAUGGAAUGCAGUCCCUGAGAACUCGUACUACCUUCUGUAUCCGUGCUUGUGUGAUUUCUUCUUCAUAAAUCGAGGUUAUAUUCUCUUGGUUUUAUUGGCGGAAUGGUUGUAAGUUCGCUUGGCUUCGGUCCUAUGGAGCCAUUUGCAUUUUCGACUAUAGCAGAAGAGGUUUCAUGGAAAGGUCUGUGAAGUGUUUUUGAGGUAUAAACCUCUGGCUGAUGGGGAUGGUCUUCAAAGGUCUCGGAUCGUGAGAGAAUCAGUCUUGGGAAAUACUGUGGUCGAGACAAAAGUUCGCUGGCAAAACAGUAAUAUUUGUUCAUCGUAUGAGUUGAACCAAAACAAACCGAAGUUACUCAAAUAUGACUGAAAUCACACCAGAAUUCAACUGGCUGUUUAAGUUCGUUUAGGGGGUCGGUUUUCUGUAACGUUCCGAUUGUCAGUUUAUUCUCCUUCAUUUGUUUAUUGUUUUCUCCAAGAAACGUGGAACAAUUUUAAAAAUCUUCGAGGUUCUAGUAAAAUCGUCAAGGUUUGAA